rnacentral:tRNA from 1 species
GGAGAGUUGUCCGAGUGGUCGAAGGUGCAGCACUCGAAAUGCUGUGUCCUGAAAAGGACCCAGGGUUCGAAUCCCUGACUCUCCGCCA